rnacentral:lncRNA from 1 species
AUUGAUUUGAAUGUAAUACAGUGUGCUUCCCUUAUCAUCUGAAUCUUACCGGUAUACAUGUAAUCUUAACUUGUUUACCCUCAUUACCUCUGGAGGGAGUCAAAACAAACUGGAUGGCAUGAAAGAUCACCUACACAAGACAAAGCAGAAAAUCCCCAGCUAAGAUUCAGGUUUGAUUUUCAACUUCAAUGGCAAUGAAUGCUCAGAAACCAGUGGCUUUGAGAAAUAGCUUGUCAACAUGAAGCAGUAGAUACCUGCUCUGACCAAGGUGCCAUAUCAGCUCAGGACAGCUUUAUGUAAGCCACCAAGGAUCACCUGUUUCUGAGGAUCAGACUCUCUGAGCCUUAACUGAGGACCCUAAUCCUCUAGUUUGCCUUCCAUCUCAGGCUUAGGGCACUUACAGCACCACAAGUUGGCAUCGCUUUUGGCCAGAGGCCCCUGAUCUGCUUGGUUUCAUCAGCAAUCCAGUUCCUCUCUACAAUCUAACCUGGGACCCAUUCAAAGGAAUCAACUGCAUUUCACAUUUUUUUUUUAAUGUGCCUUUUAUUUUUUUAUUUAUAUAUAUUUACUUUUUUCCUUAUGUUCUGAGAAACCUGCUUUAUAAAAAUCAGCUCAUUUUUUUACUUGUUUGUAGUUAAAUAAA